GCCCGCAGCUAAACUAUCCAGAUCAUCAAUGCUCUCGUCUGAUCUCGGAAGCUGAGCAGGGUAGGGACGAGUUAGAACUCGGUAGACAUCUCACUGGGAAUACCAAGUGCUGUAAGAU
ensembl:rRNA 5S_rRNA 5S ribosomal RNA